UAGGGAAUCUUCGGCAAUGGGGGCAACCCUGACCGAGCAACGCCGCGUGAGUGAAGAAGGUUUUCGGAUCGUAAAGCUCUGUUGUAAGAGAAGAACGUGUGUGAGAGUGGAAAGUUCACACAGUGACGGUAACUUACCAGAAAGGGACGGCUAACUACGUGCCAGCAGCCGAGGUAAUACGUAGGUCCCGAGCGUUGUCCGGAUUUAUUGGGCGUAAAGCGAGCGCAGGCGGUUUAAUAAGUCUGAAGUUAAAGGCAGUGGCUUAACCAUUGUUCGCUUUGGAAACUGUUAAACUUGAGUGCAGAAGGGGAGAGUGGAAUUCCAUGGGUAGCGGUGAAAUGCGUAGAUAUAUGGAGGAACACCGGUGGCGAAAGCGGCUCUCUGGUCUGUAACUGACGCUGAGGCUCGAAAGCGUGGGGAGCAAACAGG
rnacentral:rRNA from 1 species